rnacentral:rRNA from 1 species
GCCAGUGAUGGCAUGCGAAUCUCGAAAGCCUAUCUCAGUCCGGAUUGGAGGCUGAAACCCGCCUCCAUGAAGUUGGAUUCGCUAGUAAUCGCGCAUCAGCCAUGGCGCGGUGAAUACGUUCCCGGGCCUUGUACACACCGCCCGUCAAGCCAUGGGAGCCGGGGGUGCCUGAAGUUCGUUACCGUAAGGAUCGACCUAGGGCAAAACUGGUGACUGGGGCUAAGUCGUAACAAGGUAUC